CUGGACAAACGCUGGGUAGCAUUACUUAGAGGAAAGUCCACACUCGCACUAUCUGUGAUGGUAGUAGUGUUUGUGCUUAGGGAAAAAAUAACCUAAGGCAGGUUUAUGCCUGACGGCAUCUGUCUAAUCUAAGGCAUAGCUAUGAUUAGAUGGGUAUAAAGUGCCACAGUGACGAUACUAUUUAGAAAUAAAUAGAGUGAAACGCGGUAAACCCCACAAGCGAGAAACCCAAAUUAUGGUAGGGGAACUAUCUCGAGAGAAUAAGAAUCAGUGAGAUGGAUAGGUAACUAUAGAUAAAUGUUUGUCGCCUUUAUAGGUACAGAAUGUGGCUUAUAA
rnacentral:RNase_P_RNA from 1 species